rnacentral:tRNA from 1 species
AAGGCUCUAGCUUAAUUAAAGUGUUUGAGUUGCAUUCAGGAGAUAUAGGGUAGUAUCCUAUGGGCCUUA